UUUCUCAAGAAGUCCUCAAUU
rnacentral:piRNA from 1 species